GAUGAACGCUGGCGGCGUGCCUAAUACAUGCAAGUCGAACGAACAGACGAGGCGCUUGCUCCUCUGUCGUUAGCGGCGGACGGGUGAGACACACGUGGAUCAUCUCCUUGUAAGUCUGGGAUCACCUCGGGACACCGGAGCUUACACCGGAUGAUAUAUUGCUCCGCAUGGUUGAUUGGUGAAUGACGGUUUUGCUGUAACUUAUAGAUGGAUCCGCGCCGCAUUAGCUAGUUGGUAAGGUAACGGCUUACCAAGGCAACGAUGCGUAGCCGACCGGAGAGGGUGAUCGGCCACACUGGAACUGAGACACGGUCCAGAGUCCUACGGGAGGCAGCAGUAGGGAAUCUUCCGCAAUGGGCGAAAGCUUGACGGAGCAACGCCGCGUGAGUGAUGAAGGUCUUCGGAUCGUAAAACUCUGUUAUUAGGGAAGAACAAAUGUGUAAGUAACUAUGCACGUCUUGACGGUACCUAAUCAGAAAGCCACGGCUAACUACGUG
rnacentral:rRNA from 1 species